GGAGAAUUAGCUCAGCUGGGAGAGCAUCUGCCUUACAAGCAGAGGGUCGGCGGUUCGAACUCGUCAUUCUCCACCA
rnacentral:tRNA from 3 species